rnacentral:rRNA from 1 species
CCUACGGGAGGCUGCAGUGAGGAAUAUUUGUCAAUGGACGAGAGUCUGAACCAGCCAAGUAGCGUGAAGGAUGACUGCCCUAUGGGUUGUAAACUUCUUUUAUAUGGGAAUAAAACAGGGUAUGCAUACCCUCUUGUAUGUACCAUCUGAAUAAGGAUCGGCUAACUCCGUGCCAGCAGCCGCGGUAAUACGGAGGAUCCGAGCUUUAUCCGGAUUUAUUGGGUUUAAAGGGAGCGUAGGUGGAUUGUUAAGUCAGUUGUGAAAGUUUGCGGCUCAACCGUAAAAUUGCAGUUGAAACUGGCAGUCUAGAGUACAGUAGAGGUAGGCGGAAUUCGUGGUGUAGCGGUGAAAUGCGUAGAUAUCACGAAGAACUCCGAUUGCGAAGGCAGCUCACUGGACUGCAACUGACACUGAUGCUCGAAAGUGUGGGUAGCAAACAGGAUUAGAUACCCCAGUAGUC